CUUAAAAUCCGUCGAUUUUAGAAAUCGUGAGGGUUCAAGUCCCUCUAUCCCCAAUAAAAAUCCCCAAUAAAAUAAAACCCCA
rnacentral:tRNA from 1 species